rnacentral:tRNA from 1 species
UGCGGGUUGGAGAAGUGGUUAUCUCAUUGGGUUCAUAUCCCAAAGAUCGGCGGAUCAUACCCGUCACCCGCAU